GAUGAACGCUGACAGAAUGCUUAACACAUGCAAGUCAACUUGAACUUCGGUUUGGGUGGCGGACGGGUGAGUAACGCGUAAAGAACUUGCCUCACAGAUAGGGACAACAUUUGAAAACGAAUGCUAAUACCUGAUAUUAUGAUUAUAUGGCAUCGUAUAAUUAUGAAAGCUAUAUGCGCUGUGAGAGAGCUUUGCGUCCCAUUAGCUAGUUGGAGAGGUAACGGCUCACCAAGGCGAUGAUGGGUAGCCGGCCUGAGAGGGUGAUCGGCCACAAGGGGACUGAGACACGGCCCUUACUCCUACGGGAGGCAGCAGUGGGGAAUAUUGGACAAUGGACCAAGAGUCUGAUCCAGCAAUUCUGUGUGCACGAUGAAGUUUUUCGGAAUGUAAAGUGCUUUCAGUUGGGAAGAAAAAAUGACGGUACCAACAGAAGAAGUGACGGCUAAAUACGUG
rnacentral:rRNA from 1 species